CCUACGGGAGGCAGCAGUGAGGAAUAUUGGUCAAUGGCCGCAAGGCUGAACCAGCCAAGUCGCGUGAGGGAUGACGGUCCUAUGGAUUGUAAACCUCUUUUGUCAGGGAGCAAAGGGCGCCACGUGUGGCGCUUUGCGAGUACCGGAAGAAAAAGCAUCGGCUAACUCCGUGCCAGCAGCCGCGGUAAUACGGAGGAUACGAGCGUUAUCCGGAUUUAUUGGGUUUAAAGGGUGCGCAGGCGGAAUUGCAAGGCAGCGGUAAAAUUUCGGGGCUCAACCCCGUCGUGCCGUUGAAACUGGCGUUCUUGAGUGAGCGAGAAGUAUGCGGAAUGCGUGGUGUAGCGGUGAAAUGCAUAGAUAUCACGCAGAACUCCGAUUGCGAAGGCAGCAUACCGGCGCUCAACUGACGCUCAUGCACGAAAGCGUGGGUAUCGAACAGGAUUAGAUACCCCAGUAGUC
rnacentral:rRNA from 1 species